rnacentral:misc_RNA from 1 species
GUGAGUCAUCGAAUCUUUGAACGCACAUUGCGCCUCCCUUAACCGGGGGGCAUGCCUGUCUGAGCGUCAUUUAAACCUAUGGGCCCGAAUGGGUUCCGUGUUGGGCCUCGCCCCUCUUUGAGAGGCGUCGCCUUAAAGGCAUCGGCUUUAUGGAGCGGACGGGAUCCUUUUGGACUGACCGUUUCAUGGCUGGAAUUUGACUCUGACUUGACCUCAGAUCAGGUAGGGACACCGCCUGAACUUAAGCAUAUCAAUAAGCGGAGGA